GAUUGGCACGGAUUUCGCCUUCACUGGUAGCCUGGUAACAUACACUCCCAGGUCUUUCUCUGUCUCUGUGGUGGAUAGUGGAGUGUUUCCCAUGUGGUAUUGGUGUGCUGGAUAUCCCUUCACUGGUAGCCUGGUAACAUACACUCCCAGGUCUUUCUCUGUCUCUGUGGUGGAUAGUGGAGUGUUUCCCAUGUGGUAUUGGUGUGCUGGAUAGUCCUUCACUGGUAGCCUGGUAACAUACACUCCCAGGUCUUUCUCUGUCUCUGUGGUGGAUAGUGGAGUGUUUCCCAUGUGGUAUUGGUGUGCUGGAUAUCCCUUCACUGGUAGCCUGGUAACAUACACUCCCAGGUCUUUCUCUGUCUCUGUGGUGGAUAGUGGAGUGUUUCCCAUGUGGUAUUGGUGUGCUGGAUAUCCCUUCACUGGUAGCCUGGUAACAUACACUCCCAGGUCUUUCUCUGUCUCUGUGGUGGAUAGUGGAGUGUUUCCCAUGUGGUAUUGGUGUGCUGGAUAUCCCUUCACUGGUAGCCUGGUAACAUACACUCCCAGGUCUUUCUCUGCCUCUGUGGUGGAUAGUGGAGUGUUUCCCAUGUGGUAUUGGUGUGCUGGAUAUCCCUUCACUGGUAGCCUGGUAACAUACACUCCCAGGUCUUUCUCUGUCUCUGUGGUGGAUAGUGGAGUGUUUCCCAUGUGGUAUUGGUGUGCUGGAUAUCCCUUCACUGGUAGCCUGGUAACAUACACUCCCAGGUCUUUCUCUGUCUCUGUGGUGGAUAGUGGAGUGUUUCUCAUGUGGUAUUGGUGUGCUGGAUAUCCCCUCCCAAGAUGCAGGACUUUACAUUUUUCUUCAUUGAAUUGUAGCAGCCACUUUUUGUUCCAUUCCUGUAGCUUGGUGAUGUCUUCUGGAGGGAAAUACGCAGUCAAAGUGUUAAGAUCUACCAUCCUUUU